GAGGGUAUAGCUCAAUUGGUAGAGUACACGCUUAGCAUGCAUGAGGUCCUGGGUUCAAUCCCCAGUACCUCCA
rfam:Camelus ferus unplaced genomic scaffold scaffold47321, whole genome shotgun sequence.